rnacentral:misc_RNA from 1 species
GAUGAAGAACGUAGCGAAAUGCGAUAAGUAAUGUGAAUUGCAGAAUUCAGUGAAUCAUCGAAUCUUUGAACGCACAUUGCGCCCCCUGGUAUUCCGGGGGGCAUGCCUGUCCGAGCGUCAUUGCAAACCCUCAAGCCCGGCUUGCGUGAUGGGUCGCAUCGUCCCCGAAGGCCCUCCGGGGCGGGUGGGACGGGCCCGAAAGGCAGCGGCGGCGUCGCGGUCAUCCGAUCAGCCCAAGCGUAUGGGGACAUCCGUCACACGCUAGGGGCGCGGACCGACGCCAGCCUGGAACGUCACACUUCUCAAGGUUUGACCUCGGAUCAGGUAGGGAUACCCGCUGAACUUAAGCAUAUCAAUAAGCGGAGGA